rnacentral:rRNA from 1 species
GAUGAACGCUGGCGGCGUGCCUAAUACAUGCAAGUCGAGCGAAGCGGGGACGGGUGAGUAACACGUGGAUAACAUCCUAUAAGACUGGGGUAACUUCGGGAAACCGGAGCUAAACCCGACAUUUAUAGAUGGAUCCGCGCUGCAUUAGCUAGUUGGUAAGGUAACGGCUUACCAAGGCAACGAUGCAUAGCCGACCUGAGAGGGUGAUCGGCAACACUGGAACGGGGACACGGCCCAGACUCCUACGGGAGGAGGCGGUAGGGAAUCUUCCGCAAUGGGCGAAAGCCUGACGGGGCAAGCCGGCGUGAUUGUUGCAGGUCUUCGGAUCGUAAAACCCUGUUAUCAGGGAAGCGGUACCGAAACAGAAAGCCACGGCUAACUACGUGCCAGCAGCCGCGGUAAUUC